UGCAAGUAUUAGAAUUAUGCAAAAUAUCUUAUGAUUUUAAUAUAUCAAAAAUCAAACUUACAAAUGAUCUUUUAGUUAUAAAUUAUUAUUUAUUUAAGCUUUCUCUUCAAGGAUUCUACUGUUUUUGUACAGAUUGUGCACAAACUUAUAAUUAUUUGUUCUAUGAUUAUAAAUAUUCACAAUUGGUUAUACAAGUUUACAGCAAUUUAGGAUUAAUUAAAAUGUUGAGGAUAUUUAUUAAAUAUCACAAAUGAGAAUUUGAAGCAUAAAUAAAAAAAAAAAUAAAGAAAAAAAUUACUGAAAAUUAAAAAGUCAUCAUAAAAAUGAGUUCUAUUAAAUAUCGUCAAUUUACAGGAACUUUUAUGAUAAUAAGAAGUAUGGCUACCGUAAAAAGAUUUUAUCGGAGAACUAACAUUUUGUCAAGUGGUGGAAAAUUUGAAAUAACUUUGGAUCAAAGAAAACUUAAAACGCCCAAAGGGAAAAUAUUUGAAGUAAAUAAUAAAGCUUUAGCUUUAGCAGUGGCAACAGAAUGGGAUGCACAGAAAGAUAUUGUCGAAAAAGAAAAUAUGCACUUGACAGCUUUAUGCAAUACUGUAUUGGAUAAUCCAAACAAUCAGACGAAAUUAGAUAUAGUGAAUUAUAUUACAAAUUGUUUAGAAAUAGAUACAAUUCUGUUUCAUUCCAGUGAGGUAGAUGAUCUAUAUAAGUUGCAAGUUGAAAAAUGGGAUCCUUUAGUGCAAUGGUUUUGCGAUCAUUAUAAAGUAAAUAUUGUUAAAACCCAAAGUAUAGAUACACCUACAGUGCCAGCAGAAACCAAAACUAUUUUAACAAGACAUUUAUCGUCGUAUGAUUUUAAUGCUGUUCAUGGUUUUUUAUAUGCAGUUAAUGCACUGAAAUCGGUGAUUCUUACUUUGGCUGCUAUUGAAAGAGUAAUUAACGUUGAAGAAGCUGUGAAACUGUCUCGCUUAGAAGAGGAAUAUCAGAUUUCACACUGGGGAAACAUUGAAUGGUCUCAUGAUCUCAGUAAAUAUGAUUUACAAUCUCGUGUAGCAGCUGCAGUUUUAUUUGUACAUUUAAAUUCAUACUUUGUCACUUUGCUACCCAAAGGAAAUAAAAUUCUCAAUAGUUAACUAUUCCUUCCUGUGGAAUAUCAAAUUAUUGAUUAUUUAAUUUAAUAUAUCAACAAGGUUGAUAAAUUACUAGAAAAACGUUUUUCCACUGCUACAGAACAAUCCGGACCUGUCCAAUCCUUUGUGCAUAUGCAACUAAAAAAUAGAUUAUGUAAUUCAUGGAAUGACGAAUACAUUCGUUAUGGUGGCAUUCUCCUACGCCACGUCCAGUGGCUGGACUAGAACUGGUUACAGGGAAGACCGUAUCCUUCGUACGCAAUUCGAUAUCAAAUAUACAUCCAGAGAAGCCAGUGUGUAAAGGUA